UGGUGGUGGUGGUGGUGAUGGUGGUGGUGGUGAUGGUGGUGGUGGUGAUGGUGGUGGUGGUGAUGGUGGUGGUGAUGGUGGUGGUGGCGGUGAUGGCCAUCAACCUGGGGGAGGAGCCCCGCUCACACAUGUUCAUCUGGAACAACAACUUCUUUAGGCGCGCGACUGGAACGAGGAGCUGCAGAGCUGCCGUGAGCUCCCCCACAAGAAGCUGUCACAGAGACUCGUUAGAGAGAGAGAGCAACAUUCAAGGUCCCACCACCGAUGGGCGCUGCCGGUGCGUCGUCUCUGGUUGACACUGCUCAGCAAGGAGCAGCUUCACUCCACGAUCCUGCGCUACUCACUCACUCACCCACUCACUCACCCACUCACUCACCCACUCACUCACUCACCCACUCACUCAGCCACUCACUCACCCACUCACUCACUCACCCACUCACUCACUCACAAGCUUCACUCCACGUUCCUGCGCUACUCACUCGCAGGC